GACGAACGCUGGCGGCGUGCUUAACACAUGCAAGUCGAACGGAAAGGCCCUGCUUUUGUGGGGUGCUCGAGUGGCGAACGGGUGAGUAACACGUGAGUAACCUGCCCUUGACUUUGGGAUAACUUCAGGAAACUGGGGCUAAUACCGGAUAGGAGCUCCUGCUGCAUGGUGGGGGUUGGAAAUUUUCGGCGGUUGGGGAUGGAUUCGCGGCUUUCCAGCUUGUUGGUGGGGUAGUGGCUUACCAAGGCUUUGACGGGUAGCCGGCCUGAGAGGGUGACCGGCCACAUUGGGACUGAGAUACGGCCCAGACUCCUACGGGAGGCAGCAGUGGGGAAUAUUGCACAAUGGGCGGAAGCCUGAUGCAGCAACGCCGCGUGCGGGAUGACGGCCUUCGGGUUGUAAACCGCUUUCGCCUGUGACGAAGCGUGAGUGACGGUAAUGGGUAAAGAAGCACCGGCUAACUACGUG
rnacentral:rRNA from 1 species